rnacentral:misc_RNA from 1 species
CCGAGUUUACAACUCCCAAACCCCUGUGAACAUACCACUUGUUGCCUCGGCGGGAAUCAGCCCGCUCCCGUUAAAAACGGGACGGCCGCCAGAGGACCCCUAAACUCUGUUUCUAUAUGUAACUUCUGAGUAAAACCAUAAAUAAAUCA